rnacentral:rRNA from 1 species
GACGAACGCUGGCGGCGUGCUUAACACAUGCAAGUCGAACGGAAAGGCCCUGCUUUUGUGGGUUGCUCGAGUGGCGAACGGGUGAGUAACACGUGAGUAACCUGCCCUUGACUUUGGGAUAACUUCAGGAAACUGGGGCUAAUACCGGAUAGGAGCUCCUGCUGCAUGGUGGGGGUUGGAAAGUUUCGGCGGUUGGGGAUGGACUCGCGGCUUAUCAGCUUGUUGGUGGGGUAGUGGCUUACCAAGGCUUUGACGGGUAGCCUGCCUGAGAGGGUGACCGGCCACAUUGGGACUGAGAUACGGCCCAGACUCCUACGGGAGGCAGCAGUGGGGAAUAUUGCACAAUGGGCGGAAGCCUGAGGCAGCAACGCCGCGUGCGGGAUGACGGCCUUCGGGUUGUAAACCGCUUUCGCCUGUGACGAAGCGUGAGUGACGGUAAUGGGUAAAGAAGCCCCGGCUAACUACGUG